rnacentral:rRNA from 1 species
AGUGAACGCUGGCGGUAGGCCUAACACAUGCAAGUCGUACGGCAGCACAGUAAGAGCUUGCUCUUACGGGUGGCGAGUGGCGGACGGGUGAGGAAUACAUCGGACUCUACUUUUUCGUGGGGGAUAACGUAGGGAAACUUACGCUAAUACCGCAUACCACCUACGGGUGAAAGCAGGGGCUCUUCGGACCUUGCGCGAUUGAAUGAGCCGAUGUCGGAUUAGCUAGUUGGCGGGGUACAGGCCCACCAAGGCGACGAUCCGUAGCUGGUCUGAGGGGGUGAAGAGGGACACUGGGAGUGAGACACGGUCCAGAGUCCUAGGGGAGGCAGAGGUGGAGAAGAUUGGAAAAUGGGCGCAAGACUGAUCAAGCCGUACAGGGUGGGUGAAGAAGGGCUGCGGGUUGUAAAGCCCUUUUGGGGGGAAAGAAAAGCAGCAGGUUAAUACCCGGCUGUUCUGACGGUACCUAAAGAAUAAGCACCGGCUAACUUCGUG